CUUUAGUGGCGAACGGGUGCGUAAUACGUGAGAAUCUGCCCUUAGGAGGAGAAUAACUUCUGGAAACGGUUGCUAAGUCUCCAUAUGCCGAGAGGUGAAAUAGUUUAUACUGCCUAGGGAUGAGCUCACGCCUGAUUAGCUUGUUGGUAAGGUAAUGGCUUACCAAGGCCACGAUCAGUAGCUGGUUUGAGAGAACGAUCAGCCACACUGGGACUGAGACACGGCCCAGACUCCUCCGGGAGGCAGCAGUGAGGAAUUUUCCGCAAUGGGCGAAAGCCUGACGGAGCAAUACCGCGUGAGGGAUGAAGGAUUUUGGUCUGUAAACCUCUUUUCUCAAGAAAGAAGUUCUGACGGUACUUGAGGAAUAAGCAUCGGCUAACUCCGUGCCAGCAGCCGCGGUAAUACGGGGGAUGCAAGCGUUAUCCGGAAUCAUUGGGCGUAAAGCGCCUGUAGGUUGUUUAAUAAGUCUGUUGUUAAAGACUAGGGCUUAACCCUAGGAAAGCAAUGGAAACUGCUAGACUUGAGUAUGAUA
rnacentral:rRNA from 1 species